ACGUAGGGGGCAAGCGUUAUCCGGAAUUAUUGGGCGUAAAGGGUGCGUAGGCGGCUUUUUAAGCGCGGGGUGAAAGGCAAUGGCUUAACCAUUGUCAGCCUUGCGAACUGAGAGGCUUGAGUGCAGGAGAGGAAAGUGGAAUUCCUAGUGUAGCGGUGAAAUGCGUUGAUAUUAGGAGGAACACCAGUGGCGAAGGCGACUCUCUGGGCUGUCACUGACGCUGAGGCACGAAAGCGUGGGGAGCAAACAG
rnacentral:rRNA from 1 species